UUUUGUAAAAUUUGAUAUUUUUUAGGUGUAUCUUCAAGUUGAGGCACCAAACAGGAACCGCUUCAGCAAUCGAUCAAUUUGAGGAUCGUCUUUUCAAGGACACUUUAAGGAAUGACAGGUGAAUUUUCCAGUUAAGUCACCAAACAGGAACCACUUCAGCAAUCGAUCAAUUUGAGGAUCACCUUUUCAAGGACACUUCGAGGAAUGGUACAUUUCCCAGUCCAGCCACAGAACAGGACCCAAAUCAGGAAUCGGCAAGUUCUAGGAUCGCCUUGGUCAACUUCAGCAGAGACUCAACAGCAGUUCCUGGACCACUUCAGGGACAUCAGUCAUCGUGGGAGAUCGUCGCGAACAUCGAGGGACCAUUUCUAACGGGUGCGAAUAGCCCCCAACGGUGACGGUCAUCUUUCAAUGGCUGGAGCCAUCUUCCAAGGGUAAGAAGUAUCUUCCAACACCGCGGAUCACCACUUAUAGGUAAGACUUAUCCCUCCGCAAACAGGAACACCUUCAAGUUGCUUGAGGGUGAUCCUGUCUGCGGGAGGGUGGUACUUGUACCACAUCUCCCGCAGGCAUGAUCAUCUU